AUAAUAAUUGUAGUUGUUGGAUCAAAUUUCAAUUGUCUGGAUACAUUGAUUAGUGGGCACAUAUCUUUUUGAAUCCGGAGGGGAUCCAGUUCCCCCAAUUAUGAAUAUCUUGAAUACAAUAUCUUAAGUUUAUAAUAUUUUUUUUAGUACAUAUAACACAACCGAACCCAAAUCACCAACACAAUCUCUCCACUCAGAAGCAUCUCCACGAGCCACCCAAAAAACCCUAACACAACUACUUUUCACCGCAGCAGCAAUUUCAUCCAUUUGGGAUUUCGAAACUGAUCGGAAACUUCCCCUGGAGAUGUACAAAACUGACUUUUUGGGUUGAGAAUCUAGCCAAUGCAGAUAAUCGAUGUCGUUUUGAUUAGUGGGAAGAGUUUUUGAAAGUUCAAAGUGAGGUAUGGAUGGGCCAGUAGGGUAGAUAGGGAAAGCAAACGUGGCCUUGAAGGCUUCAAAGACUUGCGGAUCAAGCUCGUAGACUGAAGUGAACAAAAGAUACUGUGCUUUCUCUACUACUUGAGCAACUGCUUCAAGGGCCUUGGGGACGACAUUUUGAUGGUCUGCAAAAAACGCUGGAGAUAGAUCUGCAAGCUUGUGGUGCUGACUCCAGGAAUGUAUUCUACCAUCUCAUCUCCACGUUCUGCAAUUUUCACAUAACAUUUUACGUCGUGCAACAUUAUUAUAUUGUAUAUUAACCAAGAAAAAAUGUUUUUUCUUUUACAAAACCUUAAAAUUUAAGAUCCUCAAAAUUAUAGAGCAUGCAUAUAAGAAAAGUAUCUGCUAUGUAAGUAUUACAGUUGAGAAUAACUAAAUUAAAUAAUACAAAUUGUUCAUAAGAAUGUCUUAAGCUCGCAAAUACAUCUACUUGUUUAUAAAUUAGAGAAUGGCUGUACGCAAUUUUUUUCAAACUGAUACAAUUAUUUCUGGCAUAUGAAUAAAAUAUUAAGUGUCUUAAGUAUAUGAAUAAAAUAAUAUAAGAAAAUAUAACGAAAAAUCCUUAAAAACUUUAGUUUUAAUUAAAAUGACAAAAUAAAGGUAUAAGUAUGGUACCAUGAGUGAUUUUUCAAGGUAAAAAUAUUAUUAACGUUAAAUGUGAACAAUACCAUAAGUAUUUCAUUAAUAUUUCCUAAAAUAUAAUAUAUUGUCUUAAGCUAAGGAAGAAUCUAAUGUUUUUUUAAAGGGGUAUAAUUGGUGAUGAAUCACAAUUAUUCACCUAUUUAGAUUCAAAGAAAGUAAAAAUUACAUCUUAUUUUUAAUUACGAUCAAAUAAAUUCACAACUUACAAAUUAAAGACCAUGGCAUAUAAAAUUCAUAUGGUCAUGGUCAAUUUUGAGCUUUCAAGUGCAAAAUUGUUAAUAAAGCACAAAUUCAUCUCAGAAGUCUCUAACACCUCCCGAUAAUACAGGCCACGUGCUUUAUCCUUUUGGCAAGUGGCAUGUGACAAAUUACCAACUUGGAAGACAAAAAAGCAUUUAAUAUUUCAGGGUUCGUAAUCAUUCUCAGUUAUACGCAUCAAAAUCUUUCGCGCAACUGUGCUCGAAGGGUAUGACGUUGGGUAUGGUGGCUAAUCGGAUGUUGUCGGGUUUUGGGUCGGAUUCAAUGAACCCGUGCCACUCUUCGGUGAUGACGAAGGUGAUGAGGAGUUGAGGGUUUUUUUGAAGAUAGUAGCUUGCAGAGGUUCAUCAUGGGGUUGAUGUGGCCUCUUCCCAGAUAAGGCAAAGCCACCACGUGGUAGACUGUGAUUGUCUCAACUUUCGCUGUGCCUAUUUCUCCCUUGUUUGAAAACUUUGAAGCUUUGAAGCUAUUGCUAUCCCUUCUCCUAUAUAAUCUAAAUUACAUAUUAAUAGAACUCUCAUUGUUAAUCAAAAAUUUAUAAAAUUACUAAUUUAAUUCUCUAAUUAAAAUUGAACAUGAAUAAGAAAUAUGGGCAGAAAUGUAAUCUUCCACAACCAAAAUUUUGUUUUUUUUAAAGCCUCACAUACAUGUGAUUCUAAUAUAUCUCUAAUAAAAAUUAAAAAUUAAAAUAAUAAAAUAAAAAAUAAAGCUCUCUCUCCUCGCUCACUCUCUUCCUCUCUCCUUCACUUAAAAAAAAACACUCACACACACACACACACACUUUGUGUGCGGCCAUAUACUAGUAUAUAAUAAGGAAAAAUAAUGAAAAAAGCUUCAAAAUUGUGAAUUUUAACUAAAAAUUUUGUAAUAAUUUUAUUUAAUAAUAAGGGAAGAGGUUCCUCUUCAGAUCCUCUUUGUGGGGAUCCGGAGGAUCAAUCAAUCGUGUCUAUUCAUCGUACAUCGUGCGGUUAAAAAUAAUCUUAAAUUUUAAUUUAAAAUUGAAUAUAAAUAGUAUUUAACAAAAACUGAUCGCAUGAUGUACGAUAAACGGAUACGAUUGAUUGAUCCUCGGUUCCCACAAAGAGGAUUUGGAGAGGAUCCUUGUCCGUUAAUAAGGACAAGAUAGAAAAAUAGAAAGAAAAAAAAAACCAAAAUAAAGGUGCGUGUAAGGAACUUCAGGCCAAGAAGACUUCUUCCAAAAUAGUGUCAGAUAAAGGCAUGCCAACUUGUAUUCAGUUUCAGCAAUAGUGUCCUUGUUCUGCUUUAGAAAUUAGUGUAGUACCUAUGUAGUUUCUGAAAUAAUUAGCGUUUAAUUUUCAGAAAUAGUGUUCAGUUUCAGAAAUAAUAUAGUACCGUUCAGUUAUAAAAAUAGUGUAAUACUGUUCAGUUUUAGAAAUAGUGUGUGUGAUGGACGCAAGCGCGUCAUUUUUUUUCUUGUAUUAAUAUAUUGAACUUUUGUUAUUUUCAUUAAAAUUUUAAGUUUUUUUUUUCAUUAAAUAAAUUUAUAAAAUGAUUUUUUUUCUAAAAUAAACUUAGACGAUACCUAUAUAUAUGCAAAUAGACUAGGGAGCUGCUUAUGAAACUCCUUGAAAGACAAAAAUACCCCCAUUGCCUCCGUCAGCAUUACAAAAGCGUAUAAAAAUGAUUCUCCUCAGCAGGUCAUUGAAGUCUUCAACAAUAUAGCCAAUGGCAGACAUAAUAAUGGUAGAAUCCUUUAGUGCUGAGACGAUUUGAAGCAAAUUCGACUAUCAAUAGACAUUUACCCAAGAAAUUUUUAAGUACAUAUAACACAACCAAACUGCAAAAAGAAAAUAAACUCCUCACUCAUAUUGAUACCUCUAGUUAUAAGUUGAAUAUAACAAUUGUAUUGAAACGCAAGCAAUCGUGUCUAAGAGCUACCACAUUCAUCAGCUUAAUGGCAAUUAUAUCCUUGUGAAAUAUCCUUAAUAAAAGCAUCAAGGUUUCUAUCAGAUGAGCCACCAUUAGCAAUUGCACCUCGACAAAUCUCUUGAAGUUGUUUAGCUCUUUCCCUCAAAUCUUUCCCUUCCUCGCUUUCCACAUCCAUAAACUUCUUCACAAUUUCUCCAAUUUCCUCGCUACUCACAAGAAGUUCGACCCCCGCCUUCUUCUUCACCCGGUAUCCAAUCCUCCAAUCUUCCACAAUCUGCUUACCGUUUGGAAUUUGAUCCCAAAAUAUAGGGAAAGUAAGAAUUGGAAGACCAGCAUAAACUGCUUCCAAAGUUGAAUUCCAACCACAAUGUGACCAAAACCCACCAAUUGAAUCGUGACACAACACCCUCAAUUGGUCACACCAAGGCACCACCAAACCCAAAUCACCAACAAAAUCUCUCAACUCACAAGCAUCUACACGAGCCACCCAAAAAACCCUAACACCACUACUUUUCACGCCAGCAACAAUUUCAUCCAUUUGGGAUUUCGAAACCGAGAGGAAACUUCCCAUGGAGAUGUACAAAACUGACUUUUUGGGUUGAGAAUCUAGCCAAUGCAGAUAAUCGAUGUCGUUUUGAUUAGUGGGAAGAGUUUUUGAAAGUUCAAAGUGAGGUAUGGAUGGGCCAAUAGGGUAGAUAGGGAAAACAAACUUCGCUUUGAGGGCUUCAAAGACUUGCGGAUCAAGCUCGUAGACUGAAGUGAACAAAAGAUACUUUGCUUUCUCUGCUUCAGAAAUUCCUUCAAUUGCCUUGUGGAGGACU
rnacentral:lncRNA from 1 species